UGUUAUGGAUGAUGAGAUAAGCAAUUCACAGUUAUCCCUGUCUGAUACGUUAUGAUGAAUGCUUGUGAUCUGACAUGACA
rfam:Capsicum annuum cultivar Zunla-1 chromosome 3, whole genome shotgun sequence